CCUACGGGUGGCAGCAGUGAGGAAUAUUGGUCAAUGGACGAGAGGCUGAACCAGCCAAGUCGCGUGAGGGAUGACGGCCCUACGGGUUGUAAACCUCUUUUGUAGGGGAAUAAAGCGAGGCACGUGUGACUCUUUGAAUGUACCUGAAGAAAAAGCAUCGGCUAACUCCGUGCCAGCAGCCGCGGUAAUACGGAGGAUGCGAGCGUUAUCCGGAUUUAUUGGGUUUAAAGGGUGCGGAGGCGGGGUGGCAAGUCAGGGGUGAAAGUGGGGGGCUCAACCCUCGUAUUCCCGUUGAAACUGGAUGUCUUGAGUGCGCUAGAGGUAGGCGGAAUGCGUGGUGUAGCGGUGAAAUGCAUAGAUAUCACGCAGAACUCCGAUUGCGAAGGCAGCAUACCGGCGCGCAACUGACGCUGAUGCACGAAAGCGUGGGUAUCGAACAGGAUUAGAUACCCCGGUAGUC
rnacentral:rRNA from 1 species